rnacentral:lncRNA from 1 species
GGAGCAUCUAGCUUUAAACGCAUGCCCUUGGGACAAUCCACUCCUGCACCACACUGCUGCCUCGGACCCUUCACAGCUGUCAGCCCCACGCCCGCAUCAGACAGCGGAGGGUCUAGCUCCGACUGCACAGGUGCUUUACUACUCAAACUACCCACAGCCGCCAUAGAGCCAGCCAACCUUCAGUAA